rnacentral:tmRNA from 1 species
GGGGGUGACAGGCUUCGACCGGGGGCCGAGGGUGCCGCGAGAGGGGAAAGGCCCGCAAGUUGUUUGCCCUCGACGACCGGCACCGCAACCUUCGGGACCGGGGUUCAAUUCCCCGCACCUCCAUUG